CAGCCCUCGCCCGACGACGCGCCGCUCUGCCAGGGCUGCCGCCGCCGCGACGCGCAGUUCGUGUGCGCCGGCUGCGCCAACCAGUGGUACUGCAGCCGCGACUGCCAGGUCGCGGCGUGGGACGAACACUCGGAAAUGUGUUCAGGAUAAUGUAAGUGACUCCGGCCGCAGCAGCGGCUCCGCGACUUUGCUCGGUGUUAGCGCAUCUAGUGUCAUCUGCCUUAUAAUAACUACAUUAAUAAUUACGUGAACAUAAGAAUUCGUGAGAAUCUCUAUUUUGGACGCAACAAUUUUUUGCGUAGUCUCGUAUUUUUUUACAACGUAUGACGGUUUUUACAUUCGUUCGUACACGUUCAAAAUGUAUUUAUUGGUUUUUUGAAUUGCUAAAGAAGGUGCAUUUGUCCACAGUGCGUUAUACUCGGUCACAAAAUAUCUAGUGAUAGUUGUAUUUAUUCCUAAACAUUUAAAUCAUAAUUCUACUUAAAACGAAUACAGUUAUUGACCACUGUGGACGGAGAAUAUAAUGUAAAAAAUACGCCAACUGCCGAUAUAGUAAUACAACUCAAACUGUAUUGUAUUUAUUGUGUAAGUCGGCCGAUUGCGUCAUUUACAAUCCGAUAGCAACCUCUUCAGGAUCUUUAGCCGCCGUCAUAUUGUCUAUUAUGACUUUAUGACGUCGGUUUAUUGCAUAACUGUUCCAAAAUCCGGUUCUGUUCCGAAACCCGGUUCUGUUUUGUUCCAAAAUCCACUUAUGUUCUAUUCCAAAGCCCGAUCCUGUUCUGUUCAAAGGUCCGUGUUUUUGCUACCACAACUUUCCGUACAUGAUCACAAUAGGAUCCUAUUCUGAAACGCAAACGAAAUUGAGCUGACAUUCAAUUGACUAAAACAGCUAAAAGCAAGAAAAUAGAUUCAUGAUAACAACGAUAAGACACAAGCUUUUUUUUAAAGCGUUUCAAUCGAUCCAUAGUUGAUUUUUCCAAUAAUAAAGUAACAACAAUAUUUUUCAAAAUAAAUUAUGAUUCGAACUUCAUGGAAGUAGAGGGAAUUUCCUCUUAUACUAUUUUGCAUCCCGAUUUUCAGUAGCGGACUGCCAUCGGCUAAAAUAUAUCGUCCGUUCUAGUUCGGUAGGCCGACUUACACUCAAUCCGUCAGGGUGCCUAGUGCGAGUUUGCACCAAACGUCAUCAGCGUCAAAACGACAUGACAGAUUGUACAGCGUCCCUAGCGGACACUUUUAAGGACUAAAAUCUUCAUAGACUUUUUGACGCACUCUAUCGACGACGUUCAAUGCAAACUCACACUUAGCACACAGAUUUUUAAGACCUAUAAAAUGACAGUCCAUAUUAUAGUCCUUCAAAGGCGAAAUAACGAUGUAUCUCGAGUUUUAUAGGUUUUAUUCGAGACCAGGUUUUUUUUAUUUAGCUAUUGUCUAUAGCUCUAGGCUUAGAAGAUACCGACUUAUAGAUGCAGAUAAAUAUCGAUUGUUACGAGUGUAUUGAACAAAAACUAUUUAAAACUUAUUCAUACAGAUACAUUUUUAAAGAUAUAUUUUGGGUUUUGAACAAAUGACUAAAGGGUUGAUUUUUGUCGUCAAUGUCGUGUGUAGAAUAAAUUUGACAUGUUGUCAGUUUUGUUUAGAAAACGUCAAAAAUAUCAAUUUUAUUCUGUAGAAGUUCUUUGGCAAAUCAGCCUAUUAAUAAAUAAAUCAUAAGACACAGUAUUUGGAAAUAACUGUGUGAAUGAGUUUUCAAACAUGUUCCUAAUUUGUGAAGAAAAACUUCCUUCUCAAAACGAGUAUAGCAUAAUAUUUAAGACUUUGGCGAAUAUAAUGUUGGUUGUGUUUGUGCUGAGUUCAUCUAACGAUUUGGCUGUGUACUUUGAAAAUGUUAAUGCUUAUUUUUGGAUCAUAUCAAAUAGCAUAAAUUGAAGAUCAAUAGAAUAGCAAUUUUGGAUGUUUAAGUCACUGGUACUCGAAAUAAAUAAUGAUUCGAGGCAAUAAAAAGAUUAACUUUUAAAAGAAGGUUCUCAAUCCGGUUGUUAUUUUUUAAUUAACAGUUUGACAUAUUGCCAGUUUGGUACCAACUUAAAUUAAGAUCUUAUUUUAAAACAAUUCUAGAACUAAAUAUUUUUGAUAUAACUGUAUGGCUAUAACGUUCAAAAUAAUUUUAUUAACAUUUCAUUAAACCUUGUUCUAUUAAUUUACGAAACUCCACAACACCUGGAUCGUUAGAUGAACUUAGCGUUCGUGUCUCAAAUUUUACACGCAAUAAUUUAUAAUACAACGACUUCUUCCUAUGUUUUGUUAGGAAUAUUGAUUUUUUUGUGAAAUUCCUCUUUUCAACCCUAAUAAAUUAGAUCAUUCCUUUAAUAAUAUUGGAUGCUACCCCCCUAAAUUAAUAUUUUUUUUUUGUAGCAGUCAAAUAGGUGUUUUCUGUCAUUGUUCUUUGACAUUUAACAGAAAAUUCAAAACGUGUGACUGUUCACCUCUGUAUUGAAAUUUAUUAGCAAGGGGGUAUUGUAUAAUAAGCUAUUUAGUAGCUAAAAUUGUUAGAAUAACAAUUUAUUAUGUAUUUAUGCGAGUGAAACUUAAAAUAUGUGUGUUCUGAAUUAUGCCCAUAUACAUAUUAUGCGGCAGUCGAGUUGUAUUUAUUGUAAUACCAUUGAUACAUAACAGUUUUUUUGUAAGUCUUUUUCAGCAAAAUCACAGAAAUUUUUUGCAAGUGAAUUUUAAAUGCAGGUUCGUUUAGGAUGUAAUAGGUGCAAUGUUUGACUUCCAAUCAUAAAUUUCUGUUUUUGUUCAUAGGUCUUCCUUACCUUAGAUUUCACUAGGGUACCGGCUAAAUAAUAUUACUACAUUUACAUUGAAAUACCAAUGCGUGGAUGCAACGUAAUAGAAUUGAAGUAUGUUUCAAGUGGUUGGCCAAUGUCGGUCAACUGUAGAUCCCUUGAAAAACCAUUAUCCAUCCAUAAAGAAUACUCAAUCUCCAUUUAUAAUACCGACAUAAGAAAAAUAUACAUAUGCGGUAUAUCAAAAAGAUAUGCGAUCAAAUACCACCACAUAUUUUUCACCUGCAUAUAAUUUACCUUAUUUUUAAGUUGCACUCUCGUGAUUUGGCCAAACAUAUUUUAGAAUAAGACUUAAUUUAAGUAUUCAUCAUUUUAUAUUGACAGUAAGUCUAUUUAAGAAUCGACAGCGCAUUCAAGUUUAAAUUUAAUCACAAGCCCAAAUAUUUCGUGCCUUUCCUAAUUUAUAAGUUGGUAUUAUUGAACGAGGUGUAAUUCAGAACGUUGUGUGCCUGAAUGCGUGUAUUAUACAGACAGUACUGUAAGUUAGUACAUAGUAUUUAGUGACGUUAUGGUAUACAAGAUGGUCGGGGAACGUGACGUCCAUAGCUAUUUUUUAUUGCUAAGUUGAAUCACCCCCAACUAAUAUUUUUUUCAAGUAAGAAUGCGGAUAAAACUAAAAUAGAAAGACUCGUCUUAACAGACAUUUAUGACUGAGUUACAGUAAAAAGUUUAGGAGAACUACAAAUUGAAGAACACAAAGGGCUGAUUGACAUAUAAAUUAAAAUAACAGCUUUGAACGUCACUUAUCCGCCGCCUUGUAUAGUACGAGAAAUAAUAAUUUUCGAGAAAACUGUAAAUCGAACCGAAAUCAAUUUAUUUUGUAAUAUUGAUACUGACUGCUGGGCAGCGCUUAUUUCGUAAUCAUGUAUAUUAGAACUGUUAAUCUAUAAUGUACAUAGAUUCGUUUCUAUGAGAAACUAAAAAUAAGAUAAUUUCAGUUAUAAAAUCAAGUCAGUCCCCAUAUUUUUGAUCGACAUUUUUACUCACUUAUUUUUUUGUAAAAAUUUCCAUAAUUGCUUUAGAAAUCUUUUCCUUUUACGAAAUAAGCGUGACCAGUUUAUUAUUUAAGCUAAUAAUGAUGAUCACGCAUCGAUGUUUAUUAUAA